CAAUAGCGUAUAUUAAAGUUGUUGCAGUUAAAAAGCUCGUAGUUGGAUCUGUGGUGUGCGGUGGGCUCCGGGCACUUGUUGUCUGAGUAGCUCGCCGCUGCCAUCCUUGGGUGGAACCUGUGUGGCAUUAGGUUGUCGUGCAGGGGAUGCCCAUCGUUUACUGUGAAAAAAUUAGAGUGUUCAAAGCAGGCUUAUGCCGUUGAAUAUAUUAGCAUGGAAUAAUGAGAUAGGACUUCUUCGCUAUUUUGUUGGUUUGCGCGAAGAGGUAAUGAUUAAUAGGGACAGUUGGGGGUAUUCGUAUUCCAUUGUCAGAGGUGAAAUUCUUGGAUUUUUGGAAGACGAGCUACUGCGAAAGCAUUUACCAAGGAUGUUUUCAUUAA
rnacentral:rRNA from 1 species